UGAAACAUCUUCGGGUUGUGAGGUUAAGCGACUAAGCGUACACGGUGGAUGCCCUGGCAGUCAGAGGCGAUGAAGGACGUGCUAAUCUGCGAAAAGCGUCGGUAAGGUGAUAUGAACCGUUACAGCCGGCGAUGUCCGAAUGGGGAAACCCAGUGCAAUUCGUUGCACUAUCGUUAACUGAAUACAUAGGUUAACGAGGCGAACCGGGGGAACUGAAACAUCUAAGUACCCCGAGGAAAAGAAAUCAACCGAGAUUCCCCCAGUAGCGGCGAGCGAACGGGGAGCAGCCCAGAGUCUGAAUCAGCUUGUGUGUUAGUGGAACGGUCUGGAAAGUCCGACGGUACAGGGUGAUAGUCCCGUACACCAAAAUGCACAGGUUGUGAACUCGAAGAGUAGGGCGGGACACGUGGUAUCCUGUCUGAAUAUGGGGGGACCAUCCUCCAAGGCUAAAUACUCCUGACUGACCGAUAGUGAACCAGUACCGUGAGGGAAAGGCGAAAAGAACCCCGGCGAGGGGAGUGAAAAAGAACCUGAAACCGUGUACGUACAAGCAGUGGGAGCACCUUCGGGUGUGACUGCGUACCUUUUGUAUAAUGGGUCAGCGACUUAUAUUCUGUAGCAAGGUUAACCGUAUAGGGGAGCCGCAGGGAAACCGAGUCUUAACUGGGCGUUAAGUUGCAGGGUAUAGACCCGAAACCCGGUGAUCUAGCCAUGGGCAGGUUGAAGGUUGGGUAACACUAACUGGAGGACCGAACCGACUAAUGUUGAAAAAUUAGCGGAUGACUUGUGGCUGGGGGUGAAAGGCCAAUCAAACCGGGAGAUAGCUGGUUCUCCCCGAAAGCUAUUUAGGUAGCGCCUCGUGAACUCAUCUUCGGGGGUAGAGCACUGUUUCGGCUAGGGGGUCAUCCCGACUUACCAACCCGAUGCAAACUACGAAUACCGAAGAAUGUUAUCACGGGAGACACACGGCGGGUGCUAACGUCCGUCGUGAAGAGGGAAACAACCCAGACCGCCAGCUAAGGUCCCAAAGUCAUGGUUAAGUGGGAAACGAUGUGGGAAGGCACAGACAGCCAGGAUGUUGGCUUAGAAGCAGCCAUCAUUUAAAGAAAGCGUAAUAGCUCACUGGUCGAGUCGGCCUGCGCGGAAGAUGUAACGGGGCUAAACCAUGCACCGAAGCUGCGGCAGCGACACUAUGUGUUGUUGGGUAGGGGAGCGUUCUGUAAGCCUGCGAAGGUGUGCUGUGAGGCAUGCUGGAGGUAUCAGAAGUGCGAAUGCUGACAUAAGUAACGAUAAAGCGGGUGAAAAGCCCGCUCGCCGGAAGACCAAGGGUUCCUGUCCAACGUUAAUCGGGGCAGGGUGAGUCGACCCCUAAGGCGAGGCCGAAAGGCGUAGUCGAUGGGAAACAGGUUAAUAUUCCUGUACUUGGUGUUACUGCGAAGGGGGGACGGAGAAGGCUAUGUUAGCCGGGCGACGGUUGUCCCGGUUUAAGCAUGUAGGCUGGUUAUCCAGGCAAAUCCGGAUAANCAAGGCUGAGGUGUGAUGACGAGGCACUACGGUGCUGAAGUAACAAAUGCCCUGCUUCCAGGAAAAGCCUCUAAGCAUCAGGUAACAUCAAAUCGUACCCCAAACCGACACAGGUGGUCAGGUAGAGAAUACCAAGGCGCUUGAGAGAACUCGGGUGAAGGAACUAGGCAAAAUGGUGCCGUAACUUCGGGAGAAGGCACGCUGGUGUGUAGGUGAAGUCCCUGCGGAUGGAGCUGAGACCAGUCGAAGAUACCAGCUGGCUGCAACUGUUUAUUAAAAACACAGCACUGUGCAAACACGAAAGUGGACGUAUACGGUGUGACGCCUGCCCGGUGCCGGAAGGUUAAUUGAUGGGGUUAUCCGUAAGGAGAAGCUCUUGAUCGAAGCCCCGGUAAACGGCGGCCGUAACUAUAACGGUCCUAAGGUAGCGAAAUUCCUUGUCGGGUAAGUUCCGACCUGCACGAAUGGCGUAAUGAUGGCCAGGCUGUCUCCACCCGAGACUCAGUGAAAUUGAACUCGCUGUGAAGAUGCAGUGUACCCGCGGCAAGACGGAAAGACCCCGUGAACCUUUACUAUAGCUUGACACUGAACAUUGAGCCUUGAUGUGUAGGAUAGGUGGGAGGCUUUGAAGCGUGGACGCCAGUCUGCGUGGAGCCAACCUUGAAAUACCACCCUUUAAUGUUUGAUGUUCUAACGUUGGCCCCUGACCGGGGUUGCGGACAGUGUCUGGUGGGUAGUUUGACUGGGGCGGUCUCCUCCCAAAGCGUAACGGAGGAGCACGAAGGUUAGCUAAUCCUGGUCGGACAUCAGGAGGUUAGUGCAAUGGCAUAAGCUAGCUUGACUGCGAGCGUGACGGCGCGAGCAGGUGCGAAAGCAGGUCAUAGUGAUCCGGUGGUUCUGAAUGGAAGGGCCAUCGCUCAACGGAUAAAAGGUACUCCGGGGAUAACAGGCUGAUACCGCCCAAGAGUUCAUAUCGACGGCGGUGUUUGGCACCUCGAUGUCGGCUCAUCACAUCCUGGGGCUGAAGUAGGUCCCAAGGGUAUGGCUGUUCGCCAUUUAAAGUGGUACGCGAGCUGGGUUUAGAACGUCGUGAGACAGUUCGGUCCCUAUCUGCCGUGGGCGCUGGAGAAUUGAGGGGGGCUGCUCCUAGUACGAGAGGACCGGAGUGGACGCAUCACUGGUGUUCGGGUUGUCAUGCCAAUGGCACUGCCCGGUAGCUAAAUGCGGAAGAGAUAAGUGCUGAAAGCAUCUAAGCACGAAACUUGCCCCGAGAUGAGUUCUCCCUGAGACUUUAAGUCUCCUGAAGGAACGUUAAAGACGAUGACGUUGAUAGGCCGGGUGUGUAAGCGCAGCGAUGCGUUGAGCUAACCGGUACUAAUGAACCGUGAGGCUUAACCUU
rnacentral:rRNA from 1 species